GUGUAGCUUGAUCCCUUUCUAAGGGUACGUAGGCAACCUUUUACAAGGUUCAGCUAUAAGACGAAUAAACUCUAUUCUUCCUCGGACAUCAAGAUCGUCUUCCGGCCUCAAGCUCGUCUUUCAUCUACAAUCGGCUCGUCUUAACAUAUAUCUAAGAAAAAUUGUCCCUUCCUCGCCUUGGAGAGCUUCUGCUUUAUCUUAAUCACA
rnacentral:sRNA from 1 species